CCCUUGAUGCCCGAGGGCUGCGGGGCCAAAGUGCAGGGCAAGGCAGGGCGGGGCAGGCGCAGUGAAGCUCGGCGCUGUACUAGCCGCUGGAAGGAAAGUCUUUCCCCCUGCGGACCCGGGCACACAGCUCACUACUCCAAGACCAGAGACCUGCGCGGAGCAGGGAACCAACUUCAGCUCCAUUCCCCGCAGCAGAUGGCCGGGACCACACCACAGUGGGAAUCUUGGGGCCUGAGCCCAACUCACACGGCCCCAUCUCUACUCGCACCGUGCAGUGACCCUACAGCUCCCUGCGAGAGGCACUGCAUCCUGGUGCACCUGUCGCUGCACGGGAUGGGCUGCUGCGCACGGACAUUGCGGCUGCAAGCGCCACAGGGAGCUUCUGUGAAGGUGGUGCCAGGCUCCCGGCUGCUGCUCCUGUUGCUGCUCGUGGGCACUGCAGCUGUGCCAGGAACCAGCGCCAGCUUCCACUCCUACCAGCAUCUCUACACGGGGGUGUCAGACCCUGGCCCGGACGUGCCCGCCUUCACUGCUGUGAGCUACGUGGAUGACCAGCAAAUUCUGCACUAUGACAGCGAGACACAGAGACAGGAGCCACGCGCGGACUGGGUACUAGGGGCCAUCGAGCCAGACUUCUGGAAGGGGGAAACCAUGUCCUUGCGGAGCUGGCAGGAUGGAUUUAAACGGAACCUGGUCACGCUGCAGCAUCGCUACAACCAGACCGGGGAGUCUCACACUCUGCAGCUCAUGUACGGCUGCAAGCUCCGUGAAGACAACAGCACUGGAGGCUACAUGCAGUUGGGCUAUGAUGGGGGAGACUUCAUCAGCUAUGACCUGGGAACGCGCACCUGGGUAGCAGAAACAACACAGGCUCAGGUUACCCAGCGCAGCUGGAAUGAGGAUAAGGCCUUUCUUCAGAUUACCAGUGCCUACCUGGAGGAGACCUGCAUCGAGUGGCUGUGGAAGUACCUGCAGUGCGGGGAGGCAGUGCUGCAGCGCAAGCGUCCCAUGGCACAGGUGAGCGACGGGCCAUCCCAGGGUGGACGCACCACCCUGUCCUGCCGGGUCCACGGCUUCUACCCCAAGGACGUGGCUGUCGUUUGGGUGAAGAACGGGGAGGCGCAGCCCCAGGAGACAACCCGCUCUGAGGUUUUUCCCAGCGGAGACGGGACCUACCAGACCUGGGCCACCAUUGAGAUAGACCCCAGCAGAAACCACAAUUAUGUCUGCAGCGUGGAGCACGAGAGCCUGGGGGCAGCCCUGAGAGAGUCCUGGGACAAGGGCAGGACGAAGUCCGACUUGAUACCAAUUGUGGGCAUUGUUAUCGGUUUUGUUGCAGUGGCCAUUGGGAUCAUUGUCUGUCACUUGUACUUUCCUGACUCGUGAAGCCUGGGAGAGUGAAUCCUCGGAGAGCUCCCGUGAGCGUCACUGUGAUGCACCUGACCCAGGGGCAGGCACUGGGGCCUGGGGCGGCAAUCCCACCCCCUCGGUGCGAGCCCUGGGCAAGGGGCAGGGGCAGGGGCCAGCUCAGAGGUGCAGCUACCAGCCCCAUGACAUGGCCAGUGCCUGGUCCCUGCUGGCUGCAGGACAGGGUGAGCGCAAAGACCCCCCUGGCUGAGCUGGCAGCAGUUUGUGCCCACCUGGCUCUCCUGAGCCCAGGGUCCUGCACCCUCCAGAGGUGCAGGAUGGGGCUGGAGGAUCUCAUGGGGCCGGAGACACCCCACUAACUCCUGUCCUUCCUCCCUGCACAGGGAGCAAUGUCUACUUCAGCACCUGAAGCAAAACUAAGUGCAAGGGGCUCUGUCCUGAGGGACCCCCCAAAGGAGAUGCCUCCUCUCUCUGAGCCAGCCCUAGGAGCCCAGGUCACCCCAAUCCAGGCUGCUAUGAGGCCGAGCAUGUCUGGGGGUAAGGUGACCUGAUCUCUGCUCAGAAAAAUGGAGGCAAAGAAAUUGUUAAAUAAUUGUUUUAAUUGUA